AAUGACAAAGAUAAAAACACAAACUGGUCGGUAGUCCAGUUGCGGCUUCUCAUCUUUCAAUCUCUCCUCUCAAGCCGUCAGUAACCUUCCUCCUUAGGUCGUCCAUUCUUUGCCCAUUCAAA
rfam:Clostridium asparagiforme DSM 15981 genomic scaffold Scfld5, whole genome shotgun sequence.